rnacentral:tRNA from 1 species
GUAAAAGUAGUUUAAAUGAGAAUGAAAAUUUGUCAUGUUUUUGGUGCUAUCGGGUCUUUUAUU